rnacentral:rRNA from 1 species
GACGAACGCUGGCGGCGCGCCUAAUACAUGCAAGUCGAGCGAGAAGACGUAGCAAUACGUUUGUAAAGCGGCGAACGGGUGAGGAAUACAUGGGCAACCUACCCUCGAGUGGGGAAUAACUAGCCGAAAGGUUAGCUAAUACCGCGUACGCUCCUUGGACUUCGGUUCAGGGAGGAAAGCGAUACCGUGGGUAUCGCGCUCUUGGAUGGGCUCAUGUCCUAUCAGCUUGUUGGUGAGGUAACGGCUCACCAAGGCUUCGACGGGUAGCUGGUCUGAGAGGACGAUCAGCCACACUGGCACUGCGACACGGGCCAGACUCCUACGGGAGGCAGCAGUAAGGAAUAUUGCGCAAUGGGCGAAAGCCUGACGCAGCGACGCCGCGUGAGGGAUGACGGCCUG